rnacentral:rRNA from 1 species
UACGAUCGCAAGAUUAAAACUCAAAGGAAUUGACGGGGCCCCGCACAAGCAACGGAGCAUGCGGCUUAAUUCGACGCAACGCGAAGAACCUUACCAAGGCUUGACAUAUAGGGAAAAGUGGCAGAGAUGUCAUGUCCGCAAGGGCUCUAUACAGGUGGUGCAUGGUUGUCGUCAGCUCGUGUCGUGAGAUGUUGGGUUAAGUCCCGCAACGAGCGCAACCCUCGUUCUGUGUUGCCAGCAUUUAGUUGGGGACUCACAGGAGACUGCCGGGGUUAACUCGGAGGAAGGUGGGGAUGACGUCAAAUCAUCAUGCCCCUUAUGUCUUGGGCUGCACGCAUGCUACAAUGGCCGGUACAGAGGGCUGCAAUACCGUAAGGUGGAGCGAAUCCCAAAAAGCCGGUCUCAGUUCGGAUUGAGGUCUGCAACUCGACCUCAUGAAGUUGGAGUUGCUAGUAAUCGUAGAUCAGCAACGCUACGGUGAAUACGUUCCCGGGGCUUGUACACACCGCCCGUCACGUCACGAAAGUCGGUAACACC